AGAGUUUGAUCAUGGCUCAGAACGUACGCUGGCGGCACGCCUAACACAUGCAAGUCGAACGAAGUAGCAAUACUUAGUGGCAGACGGGUGAGUAACAUGUAGGUAUCUGCCCUUUGGCCUGGAAUAACACGAGGAAACUUGUGCUAAUACCGGAUAAGUCUUUACGGAGAAAGCUUUAUGCACCAUUGGAUGAGCCUGCACUUGAUUAGUUUGUUGGUAGGGUAAUGGCCUACCAAGACUGUGAUCAAUAGCUGAUUUGAGAGGAUGAUCAGCCACAUUGGGACUGAGACACGGCCCAAACUCCUACGGGAGGCAGCAGUGGGGAAUCUUGCACAAUGGAGGAAACUCUGAUGCAGCGAUGCCGCGUGAGUGAAGAAGGCCUUUGGGUUGUAAAGCUCUUUCGUCGGGGAAGAAAAUGACUGUACCCGAAUAAGAAGGUCCGGCUAACUUCGUGCCAGCAGCCGCGGUAAUACGAAGGGACCUAGCGUAGUUCGGAAUUACUGGGCUUAAAGAGUUCGUAGGUGGUUGAAAAAGUUGGUGGUGAAAUCCCAGAGCUUAACUCUGGAACUGCCAUCAAAACUUUUCAGCUAGAGUUUGAUAGAGGAAAGCAGAAUUUCUAGUGUAGAGGUGAAAUUCGUAGAUAUUAGAAAGAAUACCAAUUGCGAAGGCAGCUUUCUGGAUCAAUACUGACACUGAGGAACGAAAGCAUGGGUAGCGAAGAGGAUUAGAUACCCUCGUAGUCCAUGCCGUAAACGAUGUGUGUUAGACGUUGGAAAUUUAUUUUCAGUGUCGCAGCGAAAGCGAUAAACACACCGCCUGGGGAGUACGACCGCAAGGUUAAAACUCAAAUGAAUUGACGGGGACCCGCACAAGUAGUGGAGCAUGUGGUUUAAUUCGAAGAUACGCGCAGAACCUUACCAACACUUGACAUGUUCGUCGCGACUUUAAGAGAUUAAAGUUUUCGGUUCGGCCGGACGAAACACAGGUGCUGCAUGGCUGUCGUCAGCUCGUGUCGUGAGAUGUUGGGUUAAGUCCCGCAACGAGCGCAACCCUCACUUUUAGUUGCCAUCAUUUAGUUGGGCACUCUGAAAGAACUGCCAGUGAUAAGCUGGAGGAAGGUGGGGAUGACGUCAAGUCCUCAUGGCCCUUACGUGUUGGGCUACACACGUGCUACAAUGGUAUUUACAACAGGAAGCAAAACGGCGACGUUUAGCAAAUCCUUAAAAAAUACCUCAGUUCGGAUUGCACUCUGCAACUCGAGUGCAUGAAGCUGGAAUUACUAGUAAUCGUGGAUCAGCGUGCCACGGUGAAUGCGUUCCCGGGUCUUGUACACACCGCCCGUCACACCAUGGGAGUUGGUUCUACCUUAAGGCAAGGCUUUAAACCCUUGACCACGGUAUAGUCAGCGACUGGGGUGAAGUCGUAACAAGGUA
rnacentral:rRNA from 1 species